UCGCAUAUCACUCCUCGGACCCCGCGAUCUUUGUCUGCUUAUUACGUCGAUGUGAUACAAUAGUUGCAAAUAUACAACAAGUAACAUCCGUGACCGCAGAACCGAACAGUACGUACUCCGUAGCAAGUUGUGAAUUCAUUAUCAUCGAUUCCAUUAGUCAUUGUCGUCUGAUCAAAAAUUAAAGAACACAUUUUUCUUCUUAUCCAUCGUCAAUUGCGUCACCGUCUGAUAUCUACUUUUGCCCAUCAGUCUUAAACUCGUACAGAUCAAAACAUUUAUUGAACCAUAUAAUAUAAUAUAUUGACCUUUCAAUUGACUUGCAAAAUUCCUGAGUGGAUUUGUACGUGCAGCAAUGGGAGAAGCAGGCGAAGAAGUCCAAUUAUAUGUUUACGAUUUGACCGGUGGUAUGGCCAAAACCCUGGGCCAGUCACUGUUACAAAAAAAUAUUGAAGGUAUUUGGCACACCGCAAUAAUAGUAUUCGGUAAAGAGUAUUUUUUUGGCUCCAAUGGGAUUUCAGUAUGCGAUCCAGUGAGUAUUAUGUUUUAUACAAAUUGU